rnacentral:tRNA from 1 species
UUAGUUGAAGCCAAAUUAAGAGGCAUUCUAUUGUUAAUAGAAUAAUUGAUAUAAAUCCAAUUAAU